ACUGCAUCCUUCAACAACUUCAUAACAAACAAGUGAGCAUCUUCAGAUGCUGGAAGCGAUGUAAGAGGGCAGGAGUUUGUCUGUCUUCCACAAAAAGGACCUGCUUAUAUUGCCCGAAUACAGCUCCAGAGGUUAAGAACAAGGAAGAAGUUUUGAAAGAUGUGCCAGAAAAAUGAAGUCAUCCCUUUAGGUGAACACAGGUAGAUAUCUGAGUAAUUAAAAAUGCAUGAGCCUUACUUCACUUCUGAAUUUCUCAAGAGAAGAGGAGGAGCAGAAUGAAAAAAAAGGGAAGUGAGGAAAGAAAAUAUUCUAUCAAAAAAGAAGACGGAAAGAAGUGAACAAGCAGACUACAGAGUGGAACAAACUCAUCAUAUGUUUUUCAAAUCUAUCACUCUUACUUUGUCUAAAGUCCUCCUCCAUUCGGUUUUCCCUAGCUCUUUGUUUCACCUGUUUUUUGUUUUCCUGUUCCUGUGAUUUGUCCUUUGAUGCUGACUAUUGUGCCUUCUUCAUCCAUGUAGUCCACAGAGAUUAAAAAAUGCCCCAUUCACCUCUGAGGUCUAAGACUUUGGGUACUGGAAGAACUGAAAAAAAAAACCAUUAAAUGAAAGCAGAUGAAUUGGAGACAGAAGUCAGUUAGGUAUUACUUGUAGGUAAGAUCUUUUCCCUUUGCUUCAUACUUUUCUGUUACUACUUCACUGUUUCACUUUUGUUAUUCUUAGACAUUAUCGUUCAGGGUAUUAUAAAAGAAGCUUAGACUUCUGAAUGUAUAGGUUACAUCAUUUCUCUGUAAUGAACUAAACAUUUUGAUAACAUGUUUUCUGUCUCCUGCACCUCUAUGAAGACAUUAGCAGCUUCUGCCCACCUAGACAGUACACCUGAUUUCUGUUCUGUUCUGACUUUGUUGAUAAUGGUGAAUUUUCCUUUGGAUAUUCUUAUUGUCUGUACAGGUUUCUCCUAAGAAAGGUUUUCUCAUGUCUAUGUAGGCUGAUGCAAUGGCACAACUACUGAAUCCCCAAGGCAAGUGAUUUGAAUAAAGCUUGCUUGUUCUCUUAAAAAUAGCAAGAUUUGGAAAUGUUUCUAUAGCACAUUAGCAACUUCUGGCACAAGAAAGGAAAAAUGAGCAGGAAGCAAAUCAGUAAAACAAGUGGCUGCGUAAUGCAGUAAUAGUCACUCACAGAGAGAGUUAGCAAUAUUUUUCAUUUGUGAAAAUAUUUCCUGCUGCUCCCAUGUUCCUGGAUUUUGCAGUAGCUCA